rnacentral:rRNA from 1 species
UACGGGGGGGGCAAGCGUUGUUCGGAAUUACUGGGCGUAAAGGGCUCGUAGGCGGCCAACUAAGUCGGAUGUGAAAUCCCCAAGCUUAACUUGGGAACUGCAUCCGAUACUGGAUGGCUUGAAUCCGGGAGAGGGAUGCAGAAUUCCAGGUGUAGCGGUGAAAUGCGUAGAUAUCUGGAGGAAUACCGGUGGCGAAGGCGGCAUCCUGGACCGGCAUUGACGCUGAGGAGCGAAAAGCUAGGGGAGCAAACGGG